ACUCUACAUGACCAUUAUCAUUUUCCUUGGGAGAUCAAACAGAAAGCACUGCUGCUGCUUCCACAGCUCUGAAGCUCUGAUUUAUUUUUCUCCUUUGUUUACAAUUGUACUUCAAAUCCCAGGCUUUUUCACAGAAUAGACAUACUAUAGAGAUGUGAAUACCUGCCUGGCACUACGCAUGCCACCCUGCUGCAGGAUGAGUCAUUCUGUUUCCACUGUAUAUUUCUGCUAGAAAAGCCACUUUUCAAUAGCUUGGCAGGGAAAGCAGUGGCCAGCAAAAGGUGAGAUCAGCCCAUAUUAAUUCCAGCUUAAGCUGCACUACACCGAGAACUCGCAUCUUUAGACGGGAAAAGAAAACAAAAGGCAAAACAAAGCAUUCCGCCUUCCCACAGCUGUGUAACGGCGACUGAAAAACACGUGCGUGUAACAAAGACGGAGCCAGGCAGGCUGGCCGCCAUUUCAGCACCCACCUGGUGGGCAGCGCCGGGGCGGCUGCACAAGAUGGCGGCUGACCACGAGGCGGUUCGGACGUGUUGUGCCGCGUGUCGGCAUGGCUGCAGAAGCUUCCAGAGCCUCGUGUAAGGUAAAGCUGGCAGAGGUAAUGAUGGAGGAUGUCACAGCACCCCAGAUGGAAGCUGCAGGGAUUCAUCGCUUUGUGCAAAAUAGCAAAGGAGUCCUACACAAACCAGCAUGUAAGAAAUAAUAGCUCAAACAUGGAAAAAAAAAAAAAAAAAGCCAGGGAAAAUUCCUUCAAUCUUGCCUGGGAAUUUAUUUAAAGCAUCUGCAGAUGGCUCGAAGCAGGUGCUGCAGCUGCUUCUAGUAUGGUGCUCUCCUGGAAGUGGAACAGAUUGUACUUUGUUGUGAGCUCCAAGUUCCCACAGAGAAGCUUAACAUGUUCAGACAUGCAGCUCCCUGACUAUUACAAGACGGGUUCACCUCCUGACUUCAGCAUCCACAUACUGUAAAGCAUGCCAUUCUCAGGAGUCAAGUACAUGAUGUUCAAGAGGAAGAUAUUUGUAAAGGACUUCAGUUUGAAAAUCUAGAAUAGCCAGCUGAUGUCUUACCAUCUUGUUGAAGAAGUCAGUGCUAUUUUCAGCUCAGGAAAGCGCUGCUGUGGGCACAAAUGCUAUUGACCGCUUAUAAUCUGCAUUUCACACUACUCCAGCCAUCUUCAAAAACCAAGACAACCUGCAUGUACCUGUUGAAAAACAACAUGUAGGACAAAUAUUUAAAGGACCGAUGCUGUUUUUCUGCAAGCCUCUUGGUAGCAUGUCCCAGAAGUCUUCCUGACAUGAUGAAGAAGAUAAGGAGGAUCUGAGUUCUCCAGCAUGCUCAUCCUUUCAGUGACAAAUUCCUCACUGGUUGCUUUCCUUCAGAUGAGCUCACCACAGUCACACUGGGCAGUUUCCGAAAGGAGCGUAUCUUUUUAUAGAGCCUGUGUGAACUCUGAGACACACAGAGUUAUCUCAGAGAUUGUUCCUGCACAGUUCUGUCUGCGGAUAAGAAACACUCUGCAAGAGUGGACAGAGGAAUGGAAAAGAAUAGAGUUGCACCUUUGCCCCCUUCCAGUGGUCGGAGAGGAAACAGCAAAUCCCAACACUCCAGUGUGAAAGAAAUGUGACGUCUCAGAGGAGAGGCAGAAAAAACAUUUAUAUUGAAAGAAUCAGAAUCUGAGCAUUGCUCCCUGACUUCCACUGACUGAAUCCUGCAGCUAAGCAUCAUCCAAGAUACCUGCUAUGGUAAAAUCCUCCAGGUCUAGAGCUUCUAAUGCAAGUUUGCAGAUGACACCAAUCUGGGGAAAGUGUGGAUCUGCCUAGAGGGAGGAGGACCUUACAGAGUGGUCUGAACAAGUUGGAUCGAUGGGCUGAAGCCAGUGGGAUGAAGUUGAAUAAGACCAAGCUGCGACAGAAACAGUCUUCCACAUAUAAUUGGGAUGAGACUUCUGAGUAAAGAACUGGAUGGACUGCGUCUCAUUGAGUUUACUCCUUGAGCAAUCAGAGCAUUGCACCACCAAUAUUCCCGCAGUCCCAAAUUGUCCCCAGACUGCUGUUAGAUGCGGUUCUUGAUACAUGAGACACACUUCCAAUUUUUGCCAUUUGUCACAAGCAACAAGAGGAGGAGAAGAUGGUAGAGAAACAUUCUGGCCACUGCUUUUGUCUUCUUUUUUCUAUGUUAUAAGGGAGAGGGCCUGAGAAAUAAGUAAGUGUGCCUGCACUCAUCCUGCUGCAAGCCUUAAUACACCUGAGUUCAAAAUCUAGUUCAUACUAAGGCAAAAUACUACCUAGCAAUUUUUGCUUAAAAUUUACACACACAAAAAAUGUAUAUUUUGUCUUCCCAAUAGUUGUAGUGUCAUUAAUUUGAGAACAAAUCAGAAUCCAGUAUACUUUCACUGUACACAUGCACUACGUUAUUCAUGUCUUUUGUGAAAAGCAUAACCUUGCUUAUCUACUCCAGCUACAGAUGCUUAAUAAACUUUUUC
rnacentral:lncRNA from 7 species